GCACCGAUAGCUCAAUUGGAUAGAGCAGCGGUUUACGGAGCCGCAGGUUGCAGGUUCGAGUCCUGCUCGGUGCA
rnacentral:tRNA from 2 species